ACGCUCGACACCUACGGAGCAGCAGUGGGGAAUAUUGCACAAUGGGGGAAACCCUGAUGCAGCGACGCCGCGUGAGCGAAGAAGUAUUUCGGUAUGUAAAGCUNUANNNGAGGAAGAAUGACGUCNANAAGACGCACGCUAAUACGUGCCAGCAGGACGCGGUAAGUCGUGGGACGUCGGGGCCUAGGGCAAGGC
rnacentral:rRNA from 1 species